GCAACGGGUUUGUUUUUGAAGCAAGUUACAGUUUGUUUUCUGACAAAGCUGCAUGAAGAAUCUUGAUCAGCCAAGCCAUGAUGAAGAAGGGGCAUUGCUGUAAGACUAUUCACACUGAUAAGGGCUGCAAUAUCAGAAACAUGCUGGUUUACAUCCUAUAGCCUUCAUGCAAGUACUCAUUUAAACCUAUCUGUACUGUUAUGAAACAAGUAGGUAAUAACAUAGUCAUAAGAAAAUUUGUGCCAACAUGGAUUAGCACCUUUAGAAUUAGAUUAGUACAAAUAGGUUUCAGACUCUCUUUCGUACAGUAGAAUAUGCAUGCAAUCUGUAGAAUUCAAUGAUGCUCUGCCUGCUUUGGUAGGAAUGCCUUUGAAAUGAUUAAUCUAUAGUCCAGAACAGAAUUUUACAUUUAAUAUUAGUUCAGUAGGUUGAUGUUAUGGUGGUUUAGUUUAUGCCCCUUGUCACUUUAUCAGAAAAAGGUGUAACAGUAAUUUGUGCCCACCACGGAUUUUGGUAUUUAAUUGUCAUUCAAAUACACUCUUGAAAGUCUA